GGCCCUAUAGUAUAACGGUUAGUACGCCGGGUUUUCAUCCCGGUAAUCCGAGUUCGAUUCUCGGUAGGGUCA
rnacentral:tRNA from 1 species